UGCACCCCCCGAGCAUGAGCAGCAGGUCAUGGAGGGGAUUCUUCCCCUCUGCUGUGCUCUGGCGAGACCUCCCCCUGCGGUCCUGAUCCAGCUCUAGGGCAACAGCACAAGAGGAAUGUGACGCUGUUGGAGCGAGUCCAGAGGCGGCCAUGGAGAUCUGCUCUGGAGCCAG